rnacentral:rRNA from 1 species
GGUAGUCCACGCCGUAAACGAUGGAUACUAGGUGUGGCAGAUCGUCAACGACUGCCGUGCCGAAGCUAACGCAUUAAGUAUCCCGCCUGGGGAGUACGGCCGCAAGGCUAAAACUCAAAGGAAUUGACGGGUCCCCGCACAAGCGGCGGAGCAUGCGGCUUAAUUCGAUGCAACCCGAAGAACCUUACCUGGCCUUGACAUAAUGGGUCUACCCUUGGAAACAAGGGGUGCUUUGCGCUCAUUACAGGUGGUGCAUGGCUGUCGUCAGCUCGUGUCGUGAGAUGUUGGGUUAAGGCCCGCAACGAGCGCAACCCCUAUCCUAUGUUGCCAGCGCGUUAUGGCGGGGACUCAUGGGAAACUGCCGGGGACAACUCGGAGGAAGGUGGGGACGACGUCAAGUCAUCAUGCCCCUUAUGGCCAGGGCUGCACGCAUGCUACAAUGGCAAGUACAAUGGGCUGCCACCCAGCGAUGGGGAGCGAAUCCCAAAAGCUUGCCUCAGUUCGGAUCGAAGUCUGCAACUCGACUUCGUGAAGUCGGAGUCGCUAGUAAUCGCGGAUCAGCAAAGCCGCGGUGAAUGCGUUCUGGGGGAUUGUACACACCGCCCGUCACGUCACGGAAGUCGGCAACACCCGAAGCCAGUGGUCCAACCGCAAGGAGGAAGC